UACGGAGGAUGCAAGCGUUAUCCGGAAUCAUUGGGCGUAAAGGGUCCUGAGGUGGUUUGCUAAGUCUACUGUGAAAGAUCAGGGCUCAACCCUGAAGAUGCGGUGGAAACUGGCAGGCUAGAAUACGGUAGGGGCAGGGGGAAUUCCCGGUGUAGCGGUGAAAUGCAUAGAUAUCGGGAAGAACACCAAAGGCGAAGGCACCCUGCUGGGCCGAUAUUGACACUGACAGACGAAAGCCAGGGGAGCGAAUGGG
rnacentral:rRNA from 1 species